GACGAACGCUGGCGGCGUGCCUAAUACAUGCAAGUAGAACGCAGUUGCGAACGGGUGAGUAACGCGUAGGUAACUGCCUGGUAGCGGGGGAUAACUAUUGGAAACGAUAGCUAAUACCGCAUACUACCAGAUGGACCUGCGUUGUAUUAGCUAGUUGGUGAGGUAACGGCUCACCAAGGCAACGAUACAUAGCCGACCUGAGAGGGUGAUCGGCCACACUGGGACUGAGACACGGCCCAGACUCCUACGGGAGGCAGCAGUGGGGAAUAUUGCACAAUGGGCGCAAGCCUGAUGCAGCCAUGCCGCGUGUAUGAAGAAGGCCCUAGGGUUGUAAAGUACUUUCAGUCGGGAGGCGUUACCGACAGAAGAAGCACCGGCUAACUCCGUGCCAGCAGCCGCGGUAAUUC
rnacentral:rRNA from 1 species